rnacentral:rRNA from 1 species
UCCGGAGGGGGCUAUCGUUGUUCGGAAUUACUGGGCGUAAAGCGCACGUAGGCGGAUUUGUAAGUCAGGGGUGAAAUCCCGGGGCUCAACCUCGGAACUGCCUUUGAUACUGGAAAUCUCGAGUUCGGAAGAGGUGAGUGGAAUUCCUAGUGUAGAGGUGAAAUUCGUAGAUAUUAGGAAGAACACCAGUGGCGAAGGCGGCUCACUGGUCCGGUACUGACGCUGAGGUGCGAAAGCGUGGGGAGCAAACAGG